GUGGGGAAUAUUGGACAAUGGGGGGUACCCUGAUCCAGCCAUGCCGCGUGUGUGAAGAAGGCCUUUUGGUUGUAAAGCACUUUAAGCGAGGAGGAGGCUACCGAGAUUAAUACUCUUGGAUAGUGGACGUUACUCGCAGAAUAAGCACCGGCUAACUCUGUGCCAGCAGCCGCGGUAAUACAGAGGGUGCAAGCGUUAAUCGGAUUUACUGGGCGUAAAGCGCGCGUAGGUGGCCAAUUAAGUCAAAUGUGAAAUCCCCGAGCUUAACUUGGGAAUUGCAUUCGAUACUGGUUGGCUAGAGUAUGGGAGAGGAUGGUAGAAUUCCAGGUGUAGCGGUGAAAUGCGUAGAGAUCUGGAGGAAUACCGAUGGCGAAGGCAGCCAUCUGGCCUAAUACUGACACUGAGGUGCGAAAGCAUGGGGAGCAAACAGGAUUAGAAACCCUGGUAGUCC
rnacentral:rRNA from 1 species